rnacentral:rRNA from 1 species
CCUACGGGACGCAGCAGUGGGGAAUAUUGGACAAUGGGCGAAAGCCUGAUCCAGCCAUGCCGCGUGUGUGAAGAAGGCCUUCGGGUUGUAAAGCACUUUCAGUGGGGAAGAAAGCCUUGGGGCUAAUACCCUCGAGGAAGGACAUCACCCACAGAAGAAGCACCGGCUAACUCCGUGCCAGCAGCCGCGGUAAUACGGAGGGUGCGAGCGUUAAUCGGAAUUACUGGGCGUAAAGCGCGCGUAGGCGGUCUGAUAAGCCGGUUGUGAAAGCCCCGGGCUCAACCUGGGAACGGCAUCCGGAACUGUCAGGCUAGAGUGCAGGAGAGGAAGGUAGAAUUCCCGGUGUAGCGGUGAAAUGCGUAGAGAUCGGGAGGAAUACCAGUGGCGAAGGCGGCCUUCUGGACUGACACUGACGCUGAGGUGCGAAAGCGUGGGUAGCAAACAGGAUUAGAUACCCGAGUAGUC